CUCCUCCUCCCUGCGCUGCUCCCCAGGAGCCAGUGGACACAAGCAGAGGGAUACAAAUUUCGCGCGGGCAGCGCUGAGGUGGGCCGUAAAGAGGAACGGACCGGAAGUGGUGGUGGUUAUAGCAACCAGUGUGGCCAGCCUCUUCCCCAGCUUAUCCUCCUCCCAAUACUCCCGCUCUGUUUUUAUGAGGCUGGGAAAAUAGAACGAGGAAGUGGUGACGCACUGGGCUCUCACGAAUACAACUAGAAGCUGCAACGACUGUGUGGCUCUAUCGAUUCGGGAGAGGUCCAGACCGGAAAUGGUCGUUUCCAUGGUAACCCUGAGCAGGUUGCCUGGGAGAUGACCUCUUUCGGGUCUCUUUGAAUCUCCGCUGUAGCGUCACCUGGAAGGCAGAUCUAACAGAGAACCUGGACUGUCUCCUAUCAUGAUUCCCGGGAAAUAUCGCUCUGUUUCUGGCCGGGCUGCGAACAACGUGAACUGCGGGCUUCAUCUGGUUAUUCAAACAUCAUCGCUUCCUGAAAAAAACAAACAUUUAUACUUACCUACUUUCUACACACUAUGUCUCAAGACACAACAUGAUUUUUCCUCCUUUGACCAAGUUGGAAACCUCUAACCAUCACAAUUCAGGUUGAAUUCAAGCUAAAUAAAGACACAUCGUCAUUCCCCGGUAGACUUUUACAACAUGACCUUGAAAGAAACUACUCAAGUAGGCAAGGUGAUCAUAUUAAUUUGGUGAGCUCAUCAUUGUCAUCAUUUCCUAUUCUUCAACGUUCUUCUGAAGAGAAAAUUCUUUACUCAGACAGGUUGAGCCUAGAAAGACAAAAGCUGACCGUAUGUCCUAUCAUCAAUGGGGAAGACCACCUUCGUUUGUUGAACUUUCAACACAAUUUUAUAACUCGGAUACAAAAUAUUUCUAAUCUACAGAAGUUAAUAUCGUU
rnacentral:lncRNA from 1 species